AGCAGCUGCGGUAAUUCCAGCUCCAAUAGCAUAUAUUAAAGUUGUUGCAGUUAAAAGCUCGUAGUUGAAUUUCGGGGUUCUACCGUUGGUCGGACAAUUGUCUGUACUGGCGUGUGGAAUUUCUACCUUCUGGGGAACCAUCAUGUUAUUAAUUUAGCGUGGUGGAAAACCAGGACCUUUACCUUGAAAAAUUAGAGUGUUCAAAGCAGGCUUACGUCUGAAUACAUUAGCAUGGAAUAAUAAAAUAGGAUGGUGGUCUUGUUUUGUUGGUUUCUGAAUCACCGUAAUGAUUAAUAGGAAUAGUUGGGGGCAUUAGUAUUCAAUUGUCAGAGGUGAAAUUCUUGGAUUUAUUGAAGACUAACUUCUGCGAAAGCAUUUGCCAAGGAUGUUUUCAUUAAUCAAGAACGAAAGUUAGGG
rnacentral:rRNA from 1 species